CAAUGUUGUACAUGUAUGAAAACGGUGU
rnacentral:piRNA from 1 species